rnacentral:rRNA from 1 species
CCUACGGGAUGCAGCAGUGGGGAAUAUUGGGCAAUGGGCGCAAGCCUGACCCAGCAACGCCGCGUGAAGGCAGAAGGCUUUCUGGUUGUAAAAUUCUUUUCUCAGGGACGAAGCAAGUGACGGUACCUGCGGAAUACGCCACGGCUAACUAUGUGCCAGCAGCCGCGGUAUUACGUAGGUGGCAAGCGUUAUACGGAUUUACUGGGUGUAAAGGGUGUGUAGGGGGGAAAGCAAGUCAGAUGUGAAAGCCAUGGGCUCAACCUGAAGUCUGCAUUUGAAAUUGUUUGUCUUGAGUACUGGAGAGGCAGAAGGAAUUCCGAGUGUAGCGGUGAAAUGCGUAGAUAUUAGGAGGAACACCAGUGGCGAAGGCGGUCUACUGGACAGCAACUGACGCUGAGGCGCGAAAGCGUGGGGAGCAAACAGGAUUAGAUACCCGGGUAGUC